rnacentral:rRNA from 1 species
UACGUAGGGUGCGAGCGUUGUCCGGAAUUAUUGGGCGUAAAGAGCUCGUAGGCGGUGUGUCACGUCGGCCGUGAAAACCUGCAGCUUAACUGUGGGCGCGCGGUCGAUACGGGCAUCACUGGAGUUCGGCAGGGGAGACUGGAAUUCCUGGUGUAGCGGUGAAAUGCGCAGAUAUCAGGAGGAACACCGGUGGCGAAGGCGGGUCUCUGGGCCGAUACUGACGCUGAGGAGCGAAAGCGUGGGGAGCAAACAGG